UUUCCCAGUACAGGAAGAGCAAGCCCCAGCCCUGCAUGAGUACGGAAGAUCAAGCCCAGCUUCUUCAGCAGCAUCAAGAAUAAACGUGUCAUCAGGACAGUUGAUUUCUUCCUCUCCCCCAGGUGUAAUGAGCUUGACUUUGUAUGUAGCCAUGGCUACAACACGGCCACCUCUGUUGGCUUUGAGGCCAAACAUAGCCUGACCCAUGUUAGGCAUGGCUUUGAGGCUGGUCGCUGUAGGCUUGCUUCUGAUGAAUGAGGUGCUUACCAUGGCGCUUGAGAGGGUGGCCAUUGUUGUUGCUCUUGCUCAAGGAAGGGACAGUUGAGUUUUUGGUUUUGAGUAUGACAAGAUAAAGUGUGCUUGUGAAGAGCUUGUGUUGAUAAUGAGCCAACGGGUG
rnacentral:lncRNA from 1 species